rnacentral:rRNA from 1 species
UACGUAGGGUGCGAGCGUUGUCCGGAAUUAUUGGGCGUAAAGGGCUCGUAGGCGGCCUGUUGCGUCUGCCGUGAAAGCCCGGGGCUUAACUCCGGGUCUGCGGUGGAUACGGGCAGGCUAGAGUUCGGUAGGGGAGACUGGAAUUCCUGGUGUAGCGGUGAAAUGCGCAGAUAUCAGGAGGAACACCGGUGGCGAAGGCGGGUCUCUGGGCCGACACUGACGCUGAGGAGCGAAAGCGUGGGGAGCGAACAGGAUUAGAUACCCCCGUAGUCCCUGAGCGGG